rnacentral:rRNA from 1 species
UACAGAGGUCUCAAGCGUUGUUCGGAAUCACUGGGCGUAAAGGGUGCGUAGGUGGCUUGGUAAGUCAGAUGUGAAAGCCCGGGGCUCAACCCCGGAAUUGCAUCCGAUACUGCCGUGCUAGAGUACGGAAGAGGUGACUAGAAUUCUCGGUGUAGCAGUGAAAUGCGUAGAUAUCGAGAGGAAUACCAACGGCGAAGGCAGGUCACUGGGCAGUUACUGACACUGAGGCACGAAGGCCAGGGGAGCAAACGGG